AAGUCAGUAACAAGGUUUCCGUAGGUGAACCUGCGGAAGGAUCAUUACCGAGUUCUCCUUGCUCUGCAGGAACUCCCACCCUUGAAUUACUAUAGCGUUUGCUUCGGUCGAAGACGCUGGAAACAGCCAUUGACCUCUCACGUCGAUGCGUGCUCGCCGGAGUUUCAUACUCUACAUUUAUUGUGUUCGUCAGAAGAAUCAAAAAUCUAAAAAA
rnacentral:misc_RNA from 1 species